rnacentral:rRNA from 1 species
CAGUCGCCGCGGGAAUACAGAGGGUGCGAGCGUCAAUCGGAUUUACUGGGCGUAAAGCGUGCGUAGGCGGCUUCUUAAGUCGGAUGUGAAAUCCCUGAGCUUAACUUAGGAAUUGCAUUCGAUACUGGGAAGCUAGAGUCUCGUAGAGGGGGGUAGAAUUCCAGGUGUAGCGGUGAAAUGCGUAGAGAUCUGGAGGAAUACCGGUGGCGAAGGCGGCCCCCUGGACGAAGACUGACGCUCAGGUACGAAAGCGUGGGGAGCAAACAGGAUUAGAUACCCCAGUAGUCCCUGUCUCUUAUAC